UACAGAGGGUGCGAGCGUUUGUCCGGAAUCACUGGGCGUAAAGAGCGCGUAGGCGGUCCGAUAAGUCGGCUGUGAAAGUCAGGGGCUCAACCCUUGAAAGCCGGCCGAUACUGUCGGACUAGAGUUCGGAAGAGGCAAGUGGAAUUCCCGGUGUAGCGGUGAAAUGCGCAGAUAUCGGGAGGAACACCAAUUGCGAAGGCAGCUUGCUGGGAUGAUACUGACGCUGGAGGAGCGAAAGCGUGGGGAGCGAACAGG
rnacentral:rRNA from 1 species